AAACCCCUCGCUUCGUCUCUCUAAAAAAUUCCCAUACACUCUCUGAAACUCCGCCCUAAACCGCCGCCGGGAAUCGCCUCAAGGCGGCGAAACUUCUCCAAAUGAACCCAAAUUUUCACCAGUUAACCCCCGCUGCCUCCUCUAUCCAAAUCCCCAAAUCAAUUCCCUCGAAUUACUCUCAAAAGCCUCGAAUUUCAAAUCUGAGUUUCAACCUAGAAACCCUAGUUUACCCAAAUCACCCCAAAAUCAUACCCCAUAGUCCUCACACCCCUCUGAACCCUAAACCACAACCAAUUCCCCAAAAACCCUAGCCAAUUUCUUCGAAUUUCCAAUCUGAGCUCUUGUGCCCUUCUUCUUUUAGUCAGAGUUAUGGCAUUUGAACCCCAAACUUUCAUUAGCCGACUGUUCUUGUUGAGAACAGUAAUGUCAGUUCAAUGUUCAUAUUACCCAUUUGCUUCAAAGUUUGGUCAAGACUUGUUUUGUUUGGCUUUGUUUGGUCCGUAUGGAAACAAGUUUGGUAUAUCUUGAGCUUUGAAACAUGAAUAAAAGUUUGUUUUGAAGAGUGUCUUGCUGCCAUGAAGCCUUGGAGUUCAUAUUUACACAUUUUGUUUCUUCUUGAUGUUUUACCUUUAAGUCAUUUGAAUACUGCUCUUUUGGCUUUUCUUAUUAGCUUAUGUGUAGUUACCUUAAAGUCUUGUAGUGAGGAUUCAUAAAAUAACUAGGAUAUUUAGUGUUGAUAGGGUGUGAACAACACCUCUUGCAUAUGCUGAGUUUAGGUUGAGUAGUCCAGUUCUAAAAGAAAAAAUGUUUACUUUCAGUAUUUUGCUACCUCCAUGUGAUUCUGUCCAAUAUUUUUACUGAUUGUUAAUAGGUGAGCUUUCCAUAAGUGUUGGGUAUGGUCAAAACUAGGCUAUGAUUGAUGUGUAAGUACUUUUGGAUGAAGUGUUCAGCAUUACUACAAAUGUGUAAAAUGAUUAUAUGCUUUUGCUGCUUCAUGUUGAAAAAAUGUUAUAGAUAGCGCAACUUAGAACUUAUAACAUACAAAUAAGGUGUUCAAAUUCUAUAGUAAAGUUCAUGUAAAUAACUAUCUUCUAUUUCGAGUAAAGUAUCUCUGUUCUUUGAUGGUUUA